AUUGAACGCUGGCGGCAUGCCUUACACAUGCAAGUCGAACGGCAGCACGGGAGCAAUCCUGGUGGCGAGUGGCGAACGGGUGAGUAAUAUAUCGGAACGUGCCCAGUCGUGGGGGAUAACGUAGCGAAAGCUACGCUAAUACCGCAUACGAUCUAUGGAUGAAAGCGGGGGAUCGCAAGACCUCGCGCGAUUGGAGCGGCCGAUAUCAGAUUAGGUAGUUGGUGAGGUAAAGGCUCACCAAGCCGACGAUCUGUAGCUGGUCUGAGGGGACGACCAGCCACACUGGGACUGAGACACGGCCCAGACUCCUACGGGAGGCAGAAGUGGGGAAUUUUGGACAAUGGGCGCAAGCCUGAUCCAGCAAUGCCGCGUGCAGGAUGAAGGCCUUCGGGUUGUAAACUGCUUUUGCACGGAGCGAAAAGGCUUCCACUAAUACUGGGGGCUCAUGACGGUACCGUAAGAAUAAGCACCGGCUAACUACGUGCCAGCCGCCGCCGUAAAAC
rnacentral:rRNA from 1 species